CCUAUAAAAAUAUACUUUCUUACUAGGGUUAGGGUUAUAGGGAGUAAGGUGCUCAAUUAAUCUUCAGCCGCCGUCAAACGGCGUUCUCGCCGGCGGCGGCGAAAUUGCCAAGAACGUGUUUUGGAUCAGAUCUGAAUUUAUCUCAAGCUGCUUAACAAACGGACUUUCCUUGUCUAUUACUUGCAUACACACCAAAACUAGAUAGGGGAAGAAGAUGCUAAAGGAACUCUUGACUUGCAAGACCAAGUAGAAAUCAUUUGCUCGUUUGAAGGAAUUGGUGCUAUACCUUGCCUAAAAACUCUGGUCAGCAAAGUUGCUACGACAAACUAAAGAGCUUGUUGUCUUAUACCAGAUUGUGCUGACAGUGAGACGUGUUUCAGUUAUUUGUAUGACCAAAGCAUGGUCCAGAAGCUACUUGUCGUAUCUCACAACAACCAGUCUCCGAAAAUUGAUGAAAUAGUGGUUUGGAAGGUGAGGUAGAAAAAGCUUAUGAAGCCAUUUAGCUGAAUGUUCAAAUCAAUCGGUCACCACUUGGACUUGGUAAGGCAACUCUAGCCAAGAACAUGUAUAAAUUGCAGGUACAUAACUAUUCACGUUGUUGUUUGAGCAUGGUAUCGGUUUCCCAAGUACAUUACAUACUUGUGAAAUGCAACAACAUGCUCAAAUGUUAAAAAUGGAAAGUUUGUAUUUGUAAUUAUAUAUUUUUUUGGCUAGAGUUGUCUUGCCAAGUCAAGUAUCCAAUUGAUUUGAACCUUUGGGUCGGUGGCUUCAUGAUCUUCUUAUGCCUCAGCUUCAUAACUUACCACUAUAUCAUCAAUUCUCGGAGAGUGUGCUCUUAACAUACAAUCCAGACCAUUUUCCCUUAGAAGCUAAAUGUUGACAUUGAUAUGGUUGUUUUGUUGUUGAUAUUUGAUGAUUUGCACUUGAAAAUGAACAAGAGGGAGGAAAUUACUUAACAUUUGAAGUUUGUAUGGAAAUUGUUGGCACUAUUGUAGGAUUUGGUGAAAAAGAAUAUUUGGAUUUAA